rnacentral:lncRNA from 1 species
UAAGGACCUGGCCAGUCAGAAUCUCGUCAGUUAAGGACCUGGUCAGUUGGGUCCAGUCAGUGGGGGCCUGGUCAGUGGAGACCUAGGCCAUCAGUGGGUCCUGGAUAGUGAGGCCUGGUCAUUGGGGUCCUGGUGCUGCAUCUGUGAUCUCAAGUCUCUACUGGAAUUGGAUAGAGAUGGUGAAUUUCAGCCAGAGCGCCCAAAGAACUCGUGUCCCGCGCUCCUGAACGCCAUCAGCCGCCGCACCUCCAUCUUCCCUCCUCCCACGAGUCUCCUGCUCCCCGUGACUCUGGCCUCCUCGCAGUGUUGCUGGGCCACGUCAGGAAGUGCUGGAGGACGUGGCAUUGCACCAACACCAGGCGGCCAGCCGUGUGGCUCAUCCCGCAAAUCAGGCUCUUCCUGUGCAUGGAGAUGGAGUCCCUCUGGAGGCAGCCCGUGGCCCUGUUCUCGGGCAGGUGGAGCAUGGAGACGACUGGGAACUUCACUAGACACGCAUCCAGCCGGUUCAAGGGCUUGUCGCGCCGUGCACCAGCUUGCAGGAGAAAGCCCAACGCCUCGCCAAGCACGAAGGCCUCCCUUCCCGACUUGAUGAAGGCAGAGUAGCGGUUGAGGUUGCGGCUCACAGUGACCGAGCUCCUGCCCACGUGGGGACCCAGGGAGCCGUCGAGCUCCAGCCCAGGCUUGGACCUGAAGAAGCUGGCAACCCGCGAACGCCAACAGGCACAGUCGAAAAAAGCAAAAGAAAAAUCCCAAACAAAAUCCUGUUCUCCCUAGCCAAAGGACCAGGAGAGGGGGCAGCCCAGCAAGACAAAACACAUUUACACAAUUCUGGCUAACCUCAGCCAGUCCUUGGCCGUGAGUUCGUUUUUCUGCCACCUCACUUUGGGGCUGGGCUGGUUCUCCACCCUCGCAGGGUGCGUUUCUCAAUCCAGACGCUGGGGGGCGCUAGUACCUCGCGAGCUCCGCGAGGAUCAUUCCCGGGACGCCGCGGAGUCACCUCCCCUCCUAGGGACCCAGAGCUUCCCAGGGCCGCGCCUGUAGGUUUUCCAGAGGUCCCCGAAAACGUUAAAGACCUGGAAGGAAAAAAAAACUGUAAAACCACACACUUUGAUAUUUGACAACGUAAAAGCAAGGCUGCAAAAUCAAAAUCAAUGAACGCUUGAAGGAAAUGUCUACUUAGCUAGACAUAGUGCCACCUGGAUUCACUGUUGGCUCCAGAAUCCCCCCCACGGUGUCAUCACGUUGGAAAGUUUUUGUGGGUUAGAUGUUCUCUGUUGGCAAGAAUGCCUGUACAUGCCCAAGAAGCAUAUGAGUUUAAUGGGACCCCAAUAACUUCAAAAGCAAAAAGAUAA